UACGAAGGGGGCUAGCGUUGUUCGGAAUUACUGGGCGUAAAGCGCACGUAGGCGGAUAUUUAAGUUAGGGGUGAAAUCCCAGGGCUCAACCCUGGAACUGCCUUUAAUACUGGGUAUCUCGAGUCCGAGAGAGGUGAGUGGAAUUCCGAGUGUAGAGGUGAAAUUCGUAGAUAUUCGGAGGAACACCAGUGGCGAAGGCGGCUCACUGGCCCGAUACUGACGCUGAGGCACGAAAGCGUGGGGAGCCAACAGG
rnacentral:rRNA from 1 species